UUUGCCUGGAAAAAAAGUCGAGGAUUCCCAAACGAAGAAGGAAAUGACUUUUUUGAUUUUUCACCGUUCCGGAGCGUUUGUCAAGUCUUUUUAAGUGGUCUUUCAAGCUUUUUCAAAGCUCGGAAGACCUGGUUUUGAGCCUUUUUCGUUUGAUAAUCAAAAGACAGGAAGCCGAAAAGACAUGCCCCCCCAAAAAGCUUGACAAAGCUCAGAUUUGUCUUAAAUCCGAAAGCUUCGAAAAACCCUCGUUUCCUCUCUGAGUGUUUUGGCUAAACGAAUCUGCACCAGGUAUGAAUUCCUCCUUCCUCUUCUUUCUUCUUCGAUCCAAUUCUCUACUCGUACAGUCGUACCUCAGUUCCUUUCAGAUCUGAUCUCUCCCCAGCAAGUUGCAUUAAUGUAUCAGUGCACCGGGUUGGCAUGAAUGUCUUGAACCGGACACGUCCGAUCUGACGACUCGAUCUAGCCCGUCCGAGCUCGUGGACCGGUAGUAUUUCUUUCUUUUCGUGUCUUCAUCACGGCAAGCAGUGAGCCAGUGAGCCGUUUUUUUUUUUUUUUUUUUCUAUUUUUGCUUAGAGAGAGCGAUAGAUGGGCGAGCAGACGAAGAUGAAGAAGGUCUCUCCCACCCGAACCGAAACCCCUUCGCCAAACAUAUUCAUACCGGCCUCGUGGUCUGAAGCUGCCAUUUCCAUAGUUUAUGAUUCUAUAACUUCACCACCUCCUGUUGCUUUCAUUUGCGGUGCCAAGAAUAGCGGGAAGACUACCUUUUCCCGCUAUCUCCUUAACAUUCUAUUGCAAAGAUACAAAAGGGUAGCUUAUUUGGAUACAGAUGUUGGGCAGCCAGAGUUUACUCCUCCUGGUUGUCUGUCCCUUAAUGUUAUUGACAGACAAACUCCAGAUACGACAAUUCCAUGUCUCAAAACGCCUGAGAGGUGUCUUUUCUUUGGUGAUAUUUCUUCAAAAAGGGAUCCCAAAUCCUAUUUGAAUAAUAUAUUCGCCCUCUAUGAUUACUUCCGUGCAGAGUACUACAUGUCCAAUGAGAAUGAAAAUCUUGGAAAACCUCAGUUGCCUCUUGUUGUUAAUACACCUGGAUGGGUGAAAGGUAUUGGUUAUGAAAUUUUGGUGGAGAUGUUGAAGUAUAUUUCUCCCACACAUGUGGUUCAGAUGCGCAUCUCUGCUGAGAGUAAAAAUCUGCCAACUGGGGCAUUCUGGCUAGAUGCAGAUAACGAGGGGGUUGUUAAUCUGAUUGAUCUUAGUGCUGCGCGGCAAGACUCUUUUAAUAGAUCGAUAUUAGUACGAAAGGAUGCACAUCUUAUGCGAGAUCUAAAGAUCAUUGGUUAUUUCAGACAAUGCUUUCCAAGUGACUUGAAUAUUACAACCUUAAAGGAACUUGCUCAUGCAUUGGCUUCUCAACCUCCAUAUGAAGUCCCUAUAUCAAGUAUUAAAGUUUUACAUCUUCAUUGCCAGGUCCUAAGUAGUGAAAUAUUUCACAGCUUGAAUGCAACCAUUGUUGGUUUGGCUAUUAGUUCUGAAAAGCCUACACAAUCUGAGAUGUGCGCACCUUGGUGUGUUGGUCUUGGGAUUGUGAGAGGCAUUGACAUUUCAAAAGGUACAUUCUAUGUAAUUACACCUGUCCCUUGGUGCAGUCUGCAAAAGGUAGAUCUUUUUCUACGGGGUUUUAUCCAAAUCCCAGCUUGCCUGAUGCAGGUUCAAGGGUUUAUUUCACCUUAUAUGUCUACAAAUGUGCUGCCAACAGAUUAGAUCCUUGGAAUAGAUAUACAGGUGCUGAGCUGAAAAUGUUAUAAGGUUAUGUUUUGUACCAUGCUUUUCCUACCUGAAACGUUGUGUUGGCCAAUACAAAUUGGCAAUAGAUAUGUGUUGUCACAUAUGGAAGUCACUUCAAUUACAGUGAUUAACAUACCUUGCUGUUUCUGCCUGAAAUGUUGAUUUGAUGUUUCUGCAAACAGCCUCCCACACGUGUUUUUAAGAUAUUAAAUCCAGAAAACAAUCUUAAGAUUCCAAAUGAUAUACAAGUCUUAAAGGAGGGUGCUUAACAAGGUUAGCAUGAAGUCUAUUAUUCAAUGCAGGAAGCUCCUUGAUCCAGAACCAAUUGAUGGGCAACAGCACAAAACCAAUGUGUGAGGUGUUUUUUUAUUCUUUUUCUAUUAUAAGUUGUAGUGCUUAUAAAAGUUUUCCUAUAUUUGCAUUUCCCUAUUUUAAAUUUUGUUAUUGGAUUAUGGAAGUUAAUGAACCCAUGAAAUCAACUACUCACUUGUA